rnacentral:lncRNA from 1 species
CAUGGCGUGCUUGCAUUCGUCCACCUUGUUGGACGCAAUAAUGAGUGGAAGCACGUGUACGUGCACACUUGCAUGCCUUGUGCAAGCUUGCAUAUACGCUGCACUACUGGAAAACUGAGAAAUGGUCUUAGUCCUUAGUACCGGAUCAUUUUUGACCCGGUACUAAAGUAAGCAUUAGUACCGUGUCUAACAGAUAGCUCCGUAAGAGCCCCCCAUAACCCCCUUUAGUACCGGUUGGUGGCUCCAACUGGUACUAAAGGUCACCCAUUAGUACCAGAUGGAGCCUCCACCGGUAGCCCCCAACCGGUACUAAAGGGGGUGGUCCUAUCUCCUCCGCCUGGUGGCUUCACUAGCCAAUCAUAUCUUCUGCUCGACCCCCUCCGCCUUAUUUCUUCCCAUCUCUCACGGUCUCACGGUCCUCCACCUUAUCUUCCUGGUCCUCUCUCUCCCAC